rnacentral:rRNA from 1 species
UACGGAGGAUCCAAGCGUUAUCCGGAAUCAUUGGGCUUAAAGGGUUCGUAGGCGGUUUAGUAAGUCAGUGGUGAAAGCCCAUCGCUCAACGGUGGAACGGCCAUUGAUACUGCUGAACUUGAAUUAUUAGGAAGUAACUAGAAUAUGUAGUGUAGCGGUGAAAUGCUUAGAGAUUACAUGGAAUACCAAUUGCGAAGGCAGGUUACUACUAAGGGAUUGACGCUGAUGGACGAAAGCGUGGGUAGCGAACAGG